rnacentral:rRNA from 1 species
UGCGAGUCGAGAGGUGCAAGACCUCGGCGUACUGCUCAGUAACACGUGGAUAACCUACCCUGUGGAGGGGGAUAACCCCGGGAAACUGGGGAUAAUACCCCAUAGGUUAGGGUGGCUGGAAUGCCCCCUAGCUCAAAGGUCCGCCGCCACAGGAUGGGUCUGCGCCCGAUUAGGUUGUUGUUGGGGUAACGGCCCAACAAGCCUUUGAUCGGUACGGGUUGUGGGAGCAAGUGCCCGGAGAUGGAUUCUGAGACACGAAUCCAGGCCCUACGGGGCGCAGCAGGCGCGAAAACUUUACAAUGCGAGAAAUCGUGAUAAGGGAACCCCGAGUGCCCGUAAAUUCGGGCUGUCCGCCAGUGCAAAAAACUGGCGAAGAAAGAGCCGGGCAAGACCGGUGCCAGCCGCCGCGGUAACACCGGCGGCUCGAGUGGUGGUCACUAUUACUGGGCUUAAAGCGUCCGUAGCUUGGUUGUUAAGUCUCUUGGGAAAUCCACCGGCUCAACCGAUGGGCGUCAGGAGAUACUGGCAACCUAGGGACCGGGAGAGGUGAGGGGUACUCCAGGGGUAGGAGUGAAAUCCUGUAAUCCUUGGGGGACCACCUGUGGCGAA